AUCUAGCUGGCGAUUCCCAAAUAGGAUGAAACGUACGUCCUGGAU
rfam:Schistosoma haematobium scaffold1056_19, whole genome shotgun sequence.